rnacentral:ncRNA from 1 species
GAUAGGACUGUGAGGCUAGCGUGAUUGGACACUGACGCUGAGUCAACUAGCCUGGUUCGCGCGGUUCACCACGCGUUGAACCGGGGCGGCUCAAGCCACGAGGGGGGAGGCUUGAGCCGUCCGCC